rnacentral:rRNA from 1 species
CUGGGAUUAGAUACCCUGUUAUUUAAAAUGUAAUUUUUUUAUUAAGGUAGUAAUAGUUAUGUUCUUGAAACUUAAAAAAUUUGGCGGUAUUUUAGUCUAUUCAGAGGAACCUGUUCUGUAAUCGAUAAUCCACGUUGGACCUUACUUAAAUUUGUUUUUCAAUUUAUAUACCGUUGUUAUUAAAAUAUUUUUUAAAAAUAAUAAUAUUUAAUAAUUUUAAUAAAAAUUUAUAUCAAAUCAAGGUGUAGUUUAUAUUUAAGUAGAAAUGGGUUACAAUAAAAAUAUUUUUGGAUAUAAAUAUGAAAAAUUUUAUUGAAAUUGGAUUUGAUAGUAAAAUUAUAAAGAUAAAUAAUUUGAUUUUAGCUCUAAAAUAUGUACAAAUCGCCCGUCACUCUCUGA